rfam:Neosartorya udagawae DNA, contig:Aud0135, strain: IFM 46973.
GACACUUUGGCCGAGUGGUUAAGGCGCAGGCCUGCUAAGCCUGUGGGUUCGCCCGCCUGGUAUGUUCCACUACGUUAACAUAAUCAAAUAUCAAUUUCUAACAGUCUACAACAGGGUUCGAAUCCCAGAGGUGUCG